UCCCUGGUAGCUCAGUGGGUAAAGAUUCUGCCUGCUGUGCAGGAGACCUGGGUUCAAUCCCUGGGUUGGGAA
rnacentral:tRNA from 1 species